AUAAUUGCCGUGAACUGAACGGAUAAAAAGAAAUCACGAGCAAAACAAAAAUAUGUUUAUAACGUAACAGAUGGGUGAUAGCUCGACAAAUCCAUCGGCCCACUUUUGGCCAACUGUUGAUUUCCGGACGGCAGAGGACCAGGAAAUCAGGCAUUAGAGCAAAUGCCUCAUUAUCUCGAUAAACGAUUGAGAAAAACACAACAAUCGUGUUAAUUACCCACUUGAAAUGAAACUUACCAAAGCGUUUAAACUUAACGAUUACCUGAGACCAUUAAUGAAGAAUGGAGUAUGACUAUUUAUUAUUUACAUAUUAUUGCAAUAAUGUUGGCUAUUAAGUGUAAUUAUGUGCCAUUCGUUUGAUUUAUAUUGAUUGGAAUAUUUCUGUAAUUACUGUGUUAAAGACCGAGCAAUUUGUCACUUUGCAUUAGAUUUAUUUUGUGAUAAAAUCGAUCAAGUGUGAAAAGAAAAAGCAGAGCUUUCUGCGACAUCCCUGGCGGGGAUCGAACCCACGACCUUUGGAUUAGAAGUCCAACGCGCUAUCCUCUGCGCCACAGGGACAGUAUCUUGAGAAAACUUACAGCACGAAAAAUGUAAACAAUUUAAACUCAUGAUAAAAUAUUAGCAGCUGGUAAAAUUGCAUCAUAUUGUAAAAAUAUUUCAUUGUUUUACCGACAGUAAGAUUAGGAUAAGAAUCAUUUGAAGUCUAUUUUGAUAAAAGAUAAAUUAAAGCUAUUGUUUUUUUGAACGAAAAUAAAUAAAAUACAAAGGAUUCAAAUCGUCAUAAUCAUGUUUGUUUUUAUUCACAGUCACUGGAAUGUGCAGAUUUUUAACCUUUUAGACGUUGGAAAAAAGAUAUUACAUCCUUUGUUCGUUGAUCCUUUAGUAAAUUCACUGCCACUUGCAAACAUCACGUUAAAUAGUGACCACAAUAAACUGUGAUUAAGUAAAAAACCUAAUUAUUAUCUUUUGAUAUGUAUAAAUAAAUAAAAUAAAAUGUAUAAAUAAAAAUAAA